rnacentral:rRNA from 1 species
UUUUUAAAGAAAAUAAAUUAUUGCAAGCAGUUUAUCUGAAAAAAUUAGAUCAAGGUGCAGCUUAUAAAUAAGUUAAAAUGGGUUACAAUAAAUUUAUAUUUAGACGAAAUAAUAUUAAAAAGAAUAAAAUUAGGAAGGUGGAUUUGAUUGUAAUCUAAGAUUUAGUAAGAUUAGGAGAAAUAAGCUCUAAAUUAUGUACAUAUUGCCCGUCGCUUUCAUUAUUUAUGGUGAGAU